CACCAAAGGGAACAGAGGUGCAAUGCACAUAAGGUUCCUGCUAUUUAUAGUCCCUGAAAGUCCUUGACCAACUGUUCAUUUCUUUUUCAGGGCUGAAGCAACUCACUUUCUCAGCAAUAUGUGCCAAGAAGCCCAAUUACAAAAGGACAAAUGAUUCAUUUAACAGGAGUUUUCGUCAUGUUGCCACACUGCCUGACCUCCAAAUAUGCCAAGAUGCUACAGUAUCAUUUAAACUGGGAAAAAAUGCUUCUGUAUUAGCAUGAGUGAAAUUCAUGAGGGUCCCAUUAUAUCUGUAAUGUUAAAAAACCAAACCAAUACAUAAAAUCAGUCUAAUUUGAGGAGCCCUUAUGGUCAA